GAGAAUGGAAAACGGGUUGGGCCAUAAAAAAUUCUCGGGCUAGAUGUAUAGCCUUAUUUCCGAAAAUAUUGGGCUCUCGUUGCCUAGCUGAAAUUGUUUAUUGGGCUGGCAAUAAAAUUCAAUUAGGCCGAACACAAUGAAAAUCAUAGUACUUUUCGGAACCGAAUUACAUAAACAACCAAAAUCAGAAACAAAACUAAUGCAUCAUCUGAUUAAAUCUUCAGCUCAAAACUCCUUUCCAGCGACUUUAAAUCCCUUCCUUAGCUUUGGAGCUUACCAGUCUAAUCAAUAGCAAACAAUUUUCACAUCCUCAAAUUAACAUAUUUGAUAUACAGAACACUAUAGUAGAGCUCCUGUUUAGACUAUUGCCAUGUCCGCGUGAUCUAAACAACAACUUCAACCUUAAAACCAAAAAUAUUUAAUAACUAAUGACUCAUAAAUCGAACAAAUGUUCCUAAAGAAAGAAAAAGAAAAGGAAAAGACAACAUGACAUUCAAAUAGAGCAUGUUAUAUCAACUACUAGAUACCAAUAGAUCAUCUCCAUUGUCUUAACACUCCAACCAUCGUACAAAUUAACAAAAGAUGAAAAAACUAAAAUAGAUUUAAGACUUUAAACAGGCUGGAAAUUCCAAGAGUAUAACAUAAACAAUGCAACUUCAUUUAUGCUCGAAUGUUUAAGAAAAACAACAUUUCAUUCAAGGCAACUCUACAAGGCAUACAAAAGUUUAGAAAAAAUACUUAGCAAAAGGAAAAACAACCAAAAGAAACAAAGGAAUCUACAGUUCCUAGCUCAACUCAGAAAAAACAAGCAAUGAAUAAACCCUAAAUUUCUGCUCCAACUUCUAAAACCCAACAAAAAGACCUCUAGAACAAAAGAAAGCUCAAAAUUUCUUAAAAACACUUAAGUAAAGUUUUCUGUGGGCUUAAUCAUUGGAAAAAUGAUAUUUUUGUAGAGGGGAUUUAGGACAGCCAAUUCUGAUUUUUAUAAAUCAAAAGUACCCUUUAAACUUCUGAUUUAAUCAACUUACACCUCUGUCCCAAAAUUAUCCCCUUCUUUUACUCUAAAUGAUCCUUGUCAGCUUUUAUCUAUAAGCUUCCUUUAACAACAUUCCCUCAAUCCCUAUCCAAUUUGAACCCUUGUAAUUAUUCCCUAUUUUACUCUUCUUACAUUUACCCUAAGUGAUAUUGGACCUAUGGUCCACUUAAGCCACAUGCCUAAUAUUUUACUUGGGCUUUUGCACUAACAGAACCCAAACAUAAAAUUAGCAUGUAAACCAAACAUACUUUUAUGAAGAAUUAAAUCAACAUCUGAUUAAAAAAAACUAAUGAUGUAUCUUUUAAGAAAACUAUAUAUUAUGAAAGUAACUAUGCCUAAUUAUUGAGCUAUUAAUUACUGAUUAUGCAAUCACGCCCUAGAAAAAUAUUUUUAGACAUAAAAAAUAGGAUCAUAAUAGAGAUUACGAAGAAAUAAGAGGAGAGUUAUAUAUCGAUGGAAUGGCCAAAAGGCAAAAGCUAUUCAAUAGCUUUGAGAAAAAUAGCAGGAGCUUGAUUCGAACUUUGGAAAACAAAAAUGUCGGCCAAUUGCGUGAAUUUUAACAUGAAGUUUGGCGAACAUUGAAAGGCAACUACGUCAUUUUAGGUGAGUGGAGGUCUGACUGGGUAAGGGUUUUGGGCCUCGGUGGUUUGGACCAAUUUUUGGAUAUUGCCUCUUCCCUAUCCAAUUUCUUUUCUUAUUUCUAUUUCUUUGUAAUUUCUUUUUUUUUUCUUUAACUAAAACCCUAAAUUUAACUCCUAAAUUAACCUAAAUUGUAAACUUAAACUAAUUUAUCCAAUUAUAAUAUUUAUAACAAUUACUUGAUCCUAAAUUAAAAAGAAAAAUCACUAAUCUAAGAAUUAAAAACAACAAUGUAAAAAUGAGCAAUUUUUUGUGAUUUUCAUUUUCACAUCCUAUAAAAUGGCAAAUAAUUAGAAAAAUCUAUUUUCUUUGAUUUUAUAGGAGCAUUUUGUAUCGGGCAAAAAUCACAUGCUCACAGCUACCCCUCUUUGCUUGAAAAUACAAAGGGUUUUCAGAAAAAGAUAAAAUAAGCAAUUACGAGCGAUUUUGCCCAUUUGAAACUCCACGGGAAGCAUCUUUUGAGAUGAGAAGCUCCUAAAUGUGACCUCAACAGCAGUCGCAAAUGCGAAGCUUGACCUCGCUUUUGCAAGAUCUAAGGCCAACAAAACAGCUGAAGAAUACCAGCAACUUUUUUAAGAUUCAAAUCACUCUGUAGCCUAUCCGAAACUCACUUCGGCCCCUCGGCGCUCCAAUUCAAAUAUGCAUAUAAGUCUUAAAACAUCAUACAAACAUUCUCAUCCAAUCAAAUUGCUAAAAUAACAUCUAAAACUAUGGAUUUAAUACCAAAACACAUCAAAUUCUUAAGAACACUUUGAAAUUCCUAUUUUCACAAUCGGACAUCCGAAUCACGUCAAAUCAACUUCGAUUUGCACCAAAAUUCACAAACAUAACUUAAAUAUUAUAUUAAACAUGUACCGAGCUUUGGAAAAAAAAAAUACGGGCAUGAUACCAAGGAGAUCAAACAUUAAUAAAUUUAUUUAAAUCAUUAGAUUUUUAGUCUUACAAUUUUUAACAAAAAUUCAUUACUAGGGACCUCCGAAUUCGAUUCUACGCAUACGCCCAGGUUCCAUAUUUUACUCUGGACCCACCGGGCCAGUCAAAACACUGGCUUUAUUCAAAACGAUGACUGAAAUCAACUAUAGUCAAUUUUAAAGGAUAAAGUUAUUAUUUUUCUCAAAUUUCCACAUAAAAGCUUCCCAGAAAUACGCCCGGACUGUGCGCACAAAUUGAGAGGAAUAAAAAUAAGUUUUGAAGGCGUUGAAACACCGAGUUGGGUUUUAAAAUUAAGGAUGACUUUUUGUCAUCACAUUCUCCACCUCUAAAAUAACCGUUUGUUCUCGAACAGACAUGGAACACUACAAGAAAAAUAGCCUUUAAACCGUGAAAUCUUGAAUGCCUAUGGAUGUUGCCCGUAAAUAGUUAUAAGAUUGUUAGAUAUGAUAUAAUAUAAAUACUAAUAAGUCACAAAGUUUAUUUUAAAAAAGACUGGUAAGAAAAAUUCAUUGGUCAAAAUAAAUAAUAUUUGACCUUCAAAAUCGAAGUAAAGUACUAUUGGGAUAGAAGAAAUUUUCUAGCAUGACAGAAAAACAGGGCUUAUUUUACUAGCCUGUAGAAAGUUGAAGAGUAUGCACAUUAACAGCAACCAGAGUGAAAGUUAGAAGAACUUCACAUUUCAGGAUGUUUUUUCCAGAACAUCUAAGGGUAGAUAUAUAAAGCAAUAUAAACACUUGAAAUCGCAUAAAUAUUAUUGUUCCAUAAUAGAACUUGAAAAACAGAACUUUUCAUGCUUUUCUUCGGAUAACAAUUUGCAAUUAACUUUGAAGAGAAGUAAAUAGAACUUUUCAAGCAUUUCUUCUCGACACUAGAUAAUAAUCUAUAGACCUUUUAUCGUGGAUGUGUGUACAUUUACAAAAGAUUAUUACAGACAGAAAUAUUGAAUUUGUUACCCGAUAACUAACACAUAAAGUCAUGUUUUAACGUACAGAAUUCAUAAGGUUAAAAUCAUAGUUCCGCGCUCGAACACUCGAGGAGCGACUAGAAGAAGGAAAAGUAGCAGAGCUUGCUGCAGAGGAGAUAAGAAAAGGCUCAGCAGAGGGGGCCUGGUAACUGUUAUGAAUGUGGAGGAGUGGGGCAUUUUUCUCAUUACUGUUCCAAUGUUCAGACGGGAGCCGCACAGCACAUAGCUGGAAGUCAAAGGGCCCAUACUACCUGCCUAACCCUUCGCUCCGAGAGACUGGCCAAUUGAGCACAAGGGUGCAGUUGACUAUAUUAGACGUGAAGGUCAGGAUUUCUAUCUCAAUUCCUAGAGUGAAUAUAGUAAGGUCAGUCAAUGGAUUGGGUGUGAAUAUCACUCAAUUGGGUUGACUACUGUCAAAUUUCCUUCUUAAAUUCCUAAACAUAUCCAUAACAAAAGAAAAGAAGAGAAACUAAAGCAGUCUUGGAGCUACUUGAGAAAAUUGGUUUAGCAGCUACAGCUAUAGCUUGAUCUUGACCUGCAUUGUUUCGCAACUUGGCUACCUCAUUUGACCACAUAUCAACUAGCCCAGACAUUCUUCUUGUUCAAAUAUCUAUCAAUUUUUCAACUUAACAACGGAGAAAAGAAAAGGUAGUAGUAAUAUUUUUAUAGAUGCUCUUGUUUUGAUUGAAAGCAUCACAAGCCUGUGUUUAUAUACGGGUAUAACAUAUUAGAAGCUUUGUCCAAAGGCUCGUGGUCUCUGAUGACUACAUUAGGCUAAUCACUUUUUGCAUUUUUCUUGCAACUCCUUACCAUAUACCUUCCCCCAAACUAAAAACAUGAACAAAUGUGAAUGUACUUUUUCCCAUUUGAAUAUAAAUUUUUCAGACACAUAAGACACUACAAACAUGAAUAUAGUUAAGAGAAAUCAAAUUAUCAAAUUAGGAAUCCCAACCCAAUAAUCUUUCUAUUGAUUAAUGAAAAGGGGACGAAAUUAUGAAACCUUUUACCAAUUUGAUGUUAGAGAAGAAGGAGAAGAAGAACUUAGAGAAGAAAAAGAGCAACUCAGAAGAGGAGGCAUACCAGAGAUUCGCAAUGAGCGAGGUUGAAAACUAGGGUAGACCUGCCAUUCACCAACCAACAAAUUUGCAAGCUCUGCUUUGGAAAAACUCAGAUUUUGAGAGAUGGAUAGAGGGAGGCAGAGCUGCUUUGUGAUUUU
rnacentral:lncRNA from 1 species